rnacentral:rRNA from 1 species
CACGUAGGGCGCAAGCGUUGUCCGGAAUUAUUGGGCGUAAAGAGCGUGUAGGCGGCUAGAUAGGUCCGUUGUGAAAACUCGAGGCUCAACCUCGAGACGUCGAUGGAAACCAUCUGGCUAGAGUCCGGAAGAGGAGAGUGGAAUUCCUGGUGUAGCGGUGAAAUGCGCAGAUAUCAGGAAGAACACCCGUGGCGAAGGCGGCUCUCUGGUACGUGACUGACGCUGAGACGCGAAAGCGUGGGGAGCGAACAGG